ensembl:lncRNA
CGAUGAUGUGCUGUCAAUCAGUAUAAGAGCUGGUCGAAACAGUUGGUCGAAACAGAGUCAAUUAUUAACAGUGUUAAAACAAUUCCAACAGCCGCUGUCAUAUCUUGCUUUGUGUCUCUGGCAUAACAGCGGGUGGUUAGGGAAUCCCAACCCCCUACAAGGGAAGGCUUUUGGUGCAUUCUGGAGAAUAUGACAUGACUGCACAUUAGUGUUUGCAAAGGUCCAUUGCAAGUACACUGAACAAAAAUAUAAACGCCACAUUCAACAAUUUCAAAGAUUUUACACUUCCUAUAAGGACAUCAGUCAAUUGAAAUAAAUAAAUGAGGCCCUAAUUAUGGAUUUCACAUGACUGGGAAUACAGAUAUGCAUCUGUUAGUCACAGAUCCCUUAAAAAAAGUAGGGAUGUGGAUCCGAAACGAUCAGAUUGUGUGACCCCAUUUGCCUCAUGCAGCAAGACACAUCUCCUUCUCAUAGAGUUGAUCAGGCCGUUGAUUGUGGCCUGUGGAAUGUUGUCCCACUCCUCUUCAUUGGCUGUGCAUGCUGUCGUACACAUCGAAUUCAGAGCCUCCCAAACAUGCUCAAUUUGCCCGCUACAGUUGAAACCGGGAUUCAUCCGUGAAGAGCACACUUCUCCAGCGUGCCAGUGGCCAUUGAAGUUUCAUCAGCUGUCCAGGUGGCUGGUCUCAGACGAUCCCGCAGGUGAAGAUGCUGGAUGUGGAGGUCCAGGGCUGAUGUGGUUACAUGUGGUCUGCGGUUGUGAGGCUGGUUAGAUGUACUGCAAGAUUCCCAAAUAUGAUGUUGGAUGCAGUUUAUGGUGGAUGGAUUAUCUUGGUAAAGGAGAAAUACUCACUAACAGAUUUGUGGAUAAGACGAAGAGGAGACGACGACAGGAAGCCGCUAACACACAGGGCCAGCUAGCAGCAGGGACACACUUGACAACAAACAGG